rnacentral:rRNA from 1 species
GACGAACGCUGGCGGCGUGCUUAACACAUGCAAGUCGAACGGAAAGGCCCUGCUUUUGUGGGGUGCUCGAGUGGCGAACGGGUGAGUAACACGUGAGUAACCUGCCCUUGACUUUGGGAUAACUUCAGGAAACUGGGGCUAAUACCGGAUAGGAGCUCCUGCUGCAUGGUGGGGGUUGGAAAGUUUCGGCGGUUGGGGAUGGACUCGCGGCUUAUCAGCUUGUUGGUGGGGUAGUGGCUUACCAAGGCUUUGGCGGGUAGCCGGCCUGAGAGGGUGACCGGCCACCUUGGUACUGCGAUACGGCCCAGACUCCUACGGGAGGCAGCAGUGGGGAAUAUUGCACAAUGGUCGGAAGCCUGAUGCAGCAACGCCGCGUGCGGGAUGACGGCCUUCGGGUUGUAAACCGCUUUCGCCUGUGACGAAGCGUGAGUGACGGUAAUGGGUGAAGAAGCACCGGCUAACUACGUG